rnacentral:misc_RNA from 1 species
CGCCUCCCAGCUACGAUCUUACACGCUACUGUCUCGUAUUAUCUUCUAUGCUCCGUACUGUGUCCUCCAUACUCUGUGCUCCACGCUCUGUGCUCCACGCUCUGUGCUCCUCUUCACUACCAUAUUCUACUUCGCCAAGGGGGAACCAGCCAGGAGGGACCAGCCACGGGGAAGCCAUGCCACACUACAAGCUGGUAUACUUCAACCUGCGGGGACGCGGUGAACCCAUCCGCUGGGUCCUAGUGGCCGCCCACCAGCCCUUCGACGACGUCCGCUACAACAGGGAGACGGAGUGGCCCUUCAAAAAACCAGAAAUACCGUAUGGGAAGGUGCCGAUUCUGUACGUGGACGAGAAGCCGCUGAGCCAAUCAGUGGCAAUAUGCCGUUACCUGGGGAGGACGCACGGCCUGGCAGUCGAGGACCCGUGGGAGGCGGCCAAGGGCGACGAGGUGGCCGACUCCGUCCACGACCUACUUCCUCACGCUGCCCAGAUAGUUUAUGCUAAACAUGCAAAUGAUGUAGAAAAGGCAAAGAUGUUAGCAACAGAAUUCUACACAAGCACACUUCCACCAGUGAUGAGGGAGCUAGACCGCAGACUUGAGGGGCGAGAGUGGUUCUGCGGAGAUAAGAUGACAUGGGUUGAUGUGUAUGCAGCCUGUUACCUUAGCCAACUCAGCACUCACCAUGAAAGUUCGAUGGAAGCAGUACCACGUCUGAAAAGUGUUGUCGAUAGAGUACUGAAGCUUCCACAAAUUGAAAAGUGGAUAAAAGAGCGUCCAGAUACUCCAAUGUAAAAUGUAGAAUAACAUACAGUAUAUGAUGAGGGUCUUCAUAAUACAAUCAUUUACUGAACUUAAUUCUAUUCUUCUCUGAAGAUAAAUGACUGAUUUAUUAUUAUGUAAGUUCUAAAUACUGCUGUCAUAUAUUAAACUUUGUAUAAUUUUUGAAUGCAUAUGUAAUGUGAAAUUAAAUAUUUUAAUAUAUUAUAAAGUCUGAUAAUUUAAAUUGUAUACUAAAAUAACAGUACAGAAAUAAUUAUUUGUUAAAAUGUCUUAACCACUGCACAGCUCUGCAUUAACCCUUAAACAGUGCAAAUCAUACAUAUAUGAUUUGAGUAACUGUCACAAAACGGCACAAAUCAUAUAUAUAUAUAUAUAUGAUUUUGACGAUCACAGUU